UCUUAACUGUUGUUUAGAAGGAAACAGAUUUCAUUCUGAAGUGUUUUAAUCACAACAAACAACAUGAAGAUCAUUCCACUUCAGCUCUAUGUAUUAAUGUGUUGUCAGUAUGCAGUGGCAGAUCUACUGACUGAUUUUGGAUCAAAUGUGACCAUAAACUGUGAUCUUGAUGAAAAUGAGGUUUAUUGGAUUUUACUGAAAACAGCAGAUCCUCCAACAGUGAUUCUACGAUCAUUUCCAACCCCCAAAUCACCUUUUUACCCUAAUAAAUCAUUCAGAAAGAAAUAUUCAGUGCAGUUUAAACAUCGUCUGGUUAUUAAUAAUGUGACGGUUGAUGAAUUAGGAGUUUAUUACUGUAUGAACACAGAAACACCUCCAAAACUCAGCAACAGCACCAGAAUAUACUUCAAUGGUGAGUUCAUUUAUUCCUGUAGUCUUAAGAAUAAAGGUGCUUCGAAAGGUUCUUCAAGCGAUGCCAUAGAAGAACCAUUUUUGGUUGCACAAAGAACCAUUCAGUCAAAGGCUCUUUAAAGAACCAUCUCUUUCUUACUUUUUAUAAUCUGAAGAACCUUCUUUCAUCACAAAGAACCUUUGGUUAUUCAUGGCAUCAUGAAGCACCUUUAUUUUUAAGAGUGUUUAGUAAUUAAGACACUGGUGAUCAAUGUGUUUAUUUACCUUUUUAUUAUUUGUUAUUCAUUACUUCAAUUUUUAUACACUUUAUCAUAGAUAUCCCUCUUUCUGUUUGUUCCAGACAGAGAGGCCUGUUUUGUAGAUAUUAAACUGCAGUCAUUGUACUCCAGUAAAGACUAACAGUUGUUACUGUAACUCUGGACGUUUUCUUUACAGAAUCAGUUCAACUAACUGAGUGUCACAAUCACACAGAAGUGGAGUUCAUUGAUCAGAAUCAAACACAAUGGCAGAUGAUUAUUAUUAUCAUAUCUGCUCUGACAAACGGGCUUCUGAUCAUUGUGGUGAUCGUUUUUGCAAAAGCAGAACAGUUGGAAAAACAUAUUCAUAAUACUGAUCUGCAAACACAAGUUAUAUAUCAACCAUAAGAACCAAACCAAUUGCUUCAAUUGUAAGUUCACUGAGGUGGAAAAUAUUCAGCAAGUAAACAGCACCUUUGUGACUCUAUAAAAUGUUAUCAUGUGCUUAUCAUGUGCUAUACUCUUUUACAGAGUAAUAUCAUAAGUAUUUGGGACACUGGUUACACUUCUUACUCCAGUGAAGUCUAUAAAAAACACCCACAAGCCUGAUUACACAGCACCUGUUUAUUAGUUUUGUUCUUGGCUGGCAAUGCUGAGUAUAUUGUUAUUUCUUUGUUUGUUUGAUCUUGAAAUGUUUUUCCAUGUUUUAUGAUUGCUCGCUGCCUGUUUAAAUAAAGCUGCAAAUGGAUCAUCACUCGAACGUUUCCGAGUCUGCAUCACACAGUCGUAAAAUUUUACAAACCUCUGCAUGGUGUGACUACAGGCAACACAGUGCGGUCAAACUCAACUGAAGCGCUUCACCAAAA